rnacentral:rRNA from 1 species
AGCGAACGCUGGCGGCAGGCUUAACACAUGCAAGUCGAGCGGGCGUAGCAAUACGUCAGCGGCAGACGGGUGAGUAACGCGUGGGAACGUACCUUUUGGUUCGGAACAACACAGGGAAACUUGUGCUAAUACCGGAUAAGCCCUUACGGGGAAAGAUUUAUCGCCGAAAGAUCGGCCCGCGUCUGAUUAGCUAGUUGGUGAGGUAACGGCUCACCAAGGCGACGAUCAGUAGCUGGUCGAGAGGAUGAUCAGCCACAUUGGGACUGAGACACGGCCCAAACUCCUACGGGAGGCAGCAGUGGGGAAUAUUGGACAAUGGGCGCAAGCCUGAUCCAGCCAUGCCGCGUGAGUGAUGAAGGCCCUAGGGUUGUAAAGCUCUUUUGUGCGGGAAGAUAAUGACGGUACCGCAAGAAUAAGCCCCGCUAACUUCGUGCCAGCAGCCGCCGUAAC